UACGUAGGGUGCGAGCGUUGUCCGGAAUUAUUGGGCGUAAAGGGCUCGUAGGCGGUUUGUCGCGUCGGGAGUGAAAACCUUGGGCUUAACUCAGGGCUUGCUUUCGAUACGGGCAGACUAGAGGUAUGCAGGGGAGAAUGGAAUUCCUGGUGUAGCGGUGAAAUGCGCAGAUAUCAGGAGGAACACCGGUGGCGAAGGCGGUUCUCUGGGCAUUACCUGACGCUGAGGAGCGAAAGUGUGGGGAGCGAACAGG
rnacentral:rRNA from 1 species